AGGAAUUAUGUCUGUCAGCACUUUGAUUUUUUUCAUGUCAGGAGCAACUUGAGAAACUGCAAGUUGCUUCUGGUGUGAAAGAAUUGGCCGUCUGCAAGGAUGUUGCCCAGGGGACGCCUGGAUGUUUUGAUGUUUUUACCAUCCUUGUGGGAGGCUUCUCUCAUGUCCCUGCAUGGGGAGCUGGAGCUGACAGAGAGAACCAGCAACCUUCAGGUCAACAACCCAGCCUUCAAGUCAGCAAUCCUGCCGGCACAAGGGUUUAAUCCACUGCUCCACCGGGGGCUCCACUUUGAUGAAGAAAGUUUAGAUAAUAGAAACAGCUCUUUUGUCCCACAUGAACUAAUUGUUUUGGUGAAUAUAGUAUCUCUUUGUCUAGCACUGGUUUUUCACACAUGUACCAAUAUUGCUGCAUUGCUGUAGAGAUUUUUGACAUGAGAAAAUUCACUCUCCCAUGGUUAUAUGCAUUGCUGUUCAAAAUCCAAUCAAGGUAUGAACUGCAAUUCCAAUAAACGUUUAUAUAGAGGGAUCAUGUUGAUACUUUCAAUCAUCUAUGGUAAAAAUGAUAAUUGUUAAUUUUUCAUAUCAUAAAAAUGGUCUAGAAAAUAUUAUUGGCUUCAAACUGAAUUUCAAUAAUAAUCCUAUUUGCAUAAAAUGGAGUGAUAUAGGAUAACCAGUACAGUAGAGUCUCGCUUAUCCAAGCUCCACUUAUCCAAGGUGCUGUAUUAUCCAACAUAGUUUGCCUUUUAGUAGUAAAUGUUUUUGUAGUCAAUUUUUCAAUAAAUUGCAAAAUUUUGGUGCUAAAUUCAUAAAUACAAUAAUUAUUACAUAACGUUAUCGUGUACUGAACUGCUUUUUCUAUCCAUUUGUUGUAAAGCAUGAUGUUUUGGUGCUUAAUUUGUAAAAUCAUAGCAUAAUUUGAUGUUUAAUAGGCAUUUCCUUAAUCCCUCCUUAUUAUUCAACAUUUUCGCUUAUCCAAUGUUCUGCCGGCCCGUUUAUGUUGGAUAAGUGAGACUCUACUGUACUUUCAAUUAUAUCAAAUCAAUUGAAGUGGAAGAAUAUUUAAGUAAAGCAACAAGCAUUUUGAUUCAUAGUACUGUGAAUGAAAGGCUUAAGUAUCCUAAAGGUACCAUAUGUGAAGUCUUGGCUCUGCCUUUUACUCUCCUUUGCUUUUGUUCCCCCUGUUUAUAGGUUUUCCCAAUAGUGUAGAUACCUCAUUUUGUAUUAGUUUUGGGUGGAGCAUAUAAUCCCCCUAGAGGCCAGCCUUAGUUGGUCUAUUCCAUUUGCCUGUAUAGAGCUCCUUUGCUAGACUCCUCCUUUUUUCUGCAGUAGAGCUACAGAGACUUGAGGCCUGAUCAUUGUCUGUAGUAUUCAUAUACAGUAGAGUCUCACUUAUCCAAGCUAAAUGGGCCAGCAGGAGCUUGGAUAAGCGAAUAUCUUGGACAAUAAGGAGGGAUUAAGGAAAAGCCUAUUAAACAUCAAAUUAGGUUAUGAUUUUACAAAUUAAGCACCAAAACAUCAUGUUAUACAACAAAUUUGACAGAAAAAUACAAUACGCAGUAAUGUUAUGUUAUAAUUACUGCAUUUACGAAUUUAGCACCAAAAUAUCACGAUAUAUUGAAAACAUUGACUAUAAAAAUGGCUUGGAUUAUCCAGAGGCUUGGAUAAGCGAGGCUUGGAUUAGUGAGACUCUACUGUACCACCAGUCCCAAAGACAACAGAAGCUUUUGGUCAGCCUAAGUUUCACAAAGAAGAUCGAGACAUCUUUAUAAGUACCAGCAUGUAAACCAUAGCUUUGCAUCAGAGGCAAAAGACUUUAAAAAAUCCCAGAGAGAUGACUGCAACCAGCAAAAUCUCCCUUCGUAAUGUAUUGUUUUAAUCUAUCUUUCAAUAGCCCCAGAAGGAUUUAACCCUUUAUUCAUCUUGUUUUCAGUAAACUCAUUUGGUUAUCUUUUCUCCUUGCUUGAAGUGCCUCUGUAUGUUAGGGGUCUUGAUUUUAACAGAAGGUAUACAGUAAAGACAGACAUUAUAGUUUUCCCAAAGGCUUGGGAAAACACCAUAUCUCAUCUAAUCUUGGAAGCUAAGUGGUGUCAGCCCUGGUUUGUACUCGGAUGGAGGACCACCAAGAGAAUAAGAGAUAUGGUUCUGUUUUAUAGGAAAAAAACCUCAGAGACAAGAUUUGGUUUUAUAUCCAUUCUCCCCUG
rnacentral:lncRNA from 11 species